AAGCAGGGGAAGCGGCCCAAACCACCGGCCGGGGUCCGAGAGCGGUUCCCCUGCGCUCGGCUAGCGCUCCGGCCCCGCCCGGAGUGUUAUAAGGCGCUCACCCACCGGCUCCACAAACCACCUGCACAGCCUUCCCCAACAUUGGCAGCCCGGCAGCUCCAGGGGGACAGGCCUCCCCCCAGCGCUCCAACCCCACCCCGUGGUGUUUUCCCUUCUGGCACCUGGAAGGGGCAGACAUGUCCGGAGCCCGGUUUGACCUCUACAGCUGUGGGUUUUCCCUCCCUUCUCUACCUGGGUAGCGCUCGGGGCUGGGACAGCGGGAUGGGUGGUGGAUUUGAUUUUCCUGCUAUCUUAUACCUCUAGGUGAGGUUCUUCCAUGCUACCCACAGGCAGUUCUCAAACUGUGUCCCAUGGUUAUAUUUAGACAUCCCUUCAUUCCCAGCCUUCAUGGAGGGCUAAUGUCGACGUUAUCCAAACACACAAUGACAGUGUUUGAAACCACACCAAGAAGGACCCUCUGCUUAAAAGUCCCACAUCACACGUAGCUUUGCCUCGAUGCCUGCCCUGCCCCCCAACAGUCCAGAGAGAACGCGGCCAGCUGAGGCUCCUGUGGUAGAUUGCAGACCUCCGCCCGGCCCAGGCUUUCUUCGGUCAGGAGAACCCAGAGGCGGAACCGAGGCCAGCUGAGAAGAUGGAUCGCCGUCCACUUAUGGAGUACCCGCCAUGUGCUAGAGCUAGAAAGAUGAAAUGGUCAAAACCAUUCUCUUCCCUCGAGGGCCAGAAAUAGGAUGAAGAGACAAGCUGGUCUGCCAAUAAUUAGAAACACUGUGAUAAGAACUGUGACUGUAACAACAAUGAGGUACCAUCUCACAACUGUCAGACUGGAUAUCAUCAACAAAUCAACAAACGA